rnacentral:rRNA from 1 species
AGCAGUAGCCGCGGGAAUACGUAGGGUGCAAGCGUUAAUCGGAAUUACUGGGCGUAAAGCGUACGUAGGCGGAUCGAUCAGUCAGGGGUGAAAUCCCAGAGCUCAACUCUGGAACUGCCUUUGAUACUGUCGAUCUGGAGUAUGGAAGGGGUGAGUGGAAUUCCGAGUGUAGAGGUGAAAUUCGUAGAUAUUCGGAGGAACACCAGUGGCGAAGGCGGCUCACUGGUCCAUUACUGACGCUGAGGUGCGAAAGCGUGGGGAGCAAACAGGAUUAGAUACCCGCGUAGUCCCUGUCUCUUAUAC